rnacentral:hammerhead_ribozyme from 1 species
GUACUGCUGAAGAGUCCCAAACUAGGACGAAACGGUUGUCCAGUAC